CUGCAUUACUUCUGAGGUCUCAUACACACACACACACACUGCAUUACUUCUGAGGCCUCACACACACACUGCAUAACUACUGAGCUCAUACACACACUGCAUCUACUGAGCUCUCCAUGCAUGUACGCUGCUACUGCACUUUCUUAUACACUGCAUUACUUCUGAGGUCUCAUACACAUACACACUGCAUUACUUCUCAGGUCUCAUACACAUACACACUGCAUUACUUCUCAGGUCUCAUACACAUACACACUGCAUUACUUCUCAGGUCUCA